rnacentral:rRNA from 1 species
CCUACGGGAGGCAGCAGUGGGGAAUAUUGGACAAUGGGCGCAACUCUGACCCAGCGACGCCGCGUGAGUGAAGAAGUAUUUCGGUAUGUAAAGCUCUAUCAGCAGGGAAGAAAGAAAUGCCGUUACCUGUCUAAGAAGCCCGGGUUACCUACGUGCCAGCAGCGGCGGUAAUACGUAGGGGGCAAGCGUUGUCCGGAUUUAUUGGGUGUAAGGGGAGUGAAGACGGCGAUGCAAGCCAGAAGUGAAAGGCAGGGACCCAACCCGCGGACUGCUUUGGAAACUGUAUGGCUGGAGUGCAGGAGAGGUAAGUGGAAUUCCUGGUGUAGCGGUGAAAUGCGUAGAUAUUAGGAAGAACACCAGUGGCGAAGGCGGAUUACUGGACUGUAACUGACGUUGAGGCUCGAAAGCGUGGGGAGCAAACAGGAUUAGAUACCCCAGUAGUC